GGCACAAUCUGAUGAUAAAUUUGAGAUGUGAUAAAAAAGUGAGGAGAGAACCCUGAACUUGAUUGUUAAUAAUCUAGUGCUUUCAUAAUGAUACGUGAACAUUAAUAGUCCCCAGCCGCAGAUGGAGAGAUUGCUUCUGCGCUUUGUAGAGACACUCAAUCAGUAGUAAAAGUAGGUGUAGGAGGGUUUCUCUGUUCUUAACUCUGGAGCAGUGCUGGCUGCGUAAUACAGUUGGAGAGAUUCUACACCAGUGUUGCUAAUGGUGGAUCUUAAAAGCUGAGGUGUAUGGACGAAUCAGUGUGAUUUUCAAAUAACUUCUGCUCAGCUGUAGUGUGGUAGUUGAUUAGAGAGACCUGCAGGACAUAGGCACUGCACCACAAGGGCUCUAUAUGUCUAGAAGAAAGGAUAGUUUCAGAUUAAUUUCUACUCAGUCCCACUGAAGUGAGUAGAGCCAUCAAACAGCAUUUUCUGAAAACUGGGUACAUGGCUCUUGCUGUUUAGAGCAUAAAAUAAUGGAUUGUUUGGAGGACCAGCAAAGCUUAAAUCACCUGUGCAGAUAGAGAUCUUGUGUGUAUGAAUUUUAAUGGCAACAAAAGUAAGAAUUUAAAAACAAAACUGAAAUAGGUACAGCAGAAUGUUUGAAAAUACUUUGUUCAAAUUAUGCCAUAUUCCUCUUUCUGUUUUAACAGAGGGAUUGAUUAAAAAUGAAUUUAUACAAAUAUUCAGGAAGUCUCUGAAUGCCAUUUAAGCUCUUCCACGGUAUGUUGUUUUCCCUGUUAGCUGCUUGGCCACCUCGAUAGAUCUAUUUGGCAGGGUGCAGUGUUGUCCAACCUCAAAGGGUUCCUUUGUUGUUUUGGUCUUAUUUUUGCAUUGUCUUUUUAAAAUUUGUCUAUAAUUUAACCAUUCUAAAAAUAAUCUUUAAAAAAUCUGCUUACACUGUGAUUUAUGAUAGCCUUUAAUUUAGAGUAUACAACACAAUCUGAAUUUUCUUUUGGGAUAUGCAGCUUUCAAAAGUGUUCUUAUAUAUGCCCAGAAAUGAAAGUUGUCUAUUUAUCAUAAGAAUGUGAUUAGAUGAAGUUACCUAUCCAGAAUCCCAGUGCAGCUCUUAGAGAUGUGCUGGAUGGAUGAGUUAGAGAAAUUGCCUUUUAGUCUCUAUGGGUUAAUAAAUAUUUUUUUAUAACUAGCCACAGAUAUUCCUUUUUAAAUUAUACUUGGCAAACAGAAGAUAUUUAAUUUUAUAUACAAUAUACAUAGUUACCUUGAUUGACAUAUUUAUAACAUAGAGCUUUGUGUUUACUAUGAAGGUUUUAUCUGUAUACCAUGGACUUCAUGGGUAAAAUUUUAAAAAGCCAGUUAGCAUAUAUGGAAGGAUAUGGAAAACAUCUUCACAAAUUCAGAAUGAGGACUUAGGAGCAUUAAAAAAAGCAGUAGCCAGGUUGUAUUAACAGUGUAUCUGGGGUUUUUCUUAUUUUUUUGAUUGGGGCUGGUCCCUACAGCUAUUUUAAUAACAUCUGGAUGUGAGUAACAAUGAAAUACGACCAUCUGCCUCUUCUGACUGUCACAGACUGUUGUCUAGAAUAUGGGAGAUUUCAGGGUAUUGUAUUUACAAUUUUGCUUUGGACAAAUGUCUCAACAGACAUAUUUAAUUAAAACCUUCAUGUGUUUGGAAGAAAAUACCCUCCCUUAACUAGGCUGAUUUAUCACUUUUGGUAACCUUUUAAUCCCAAAAUAGUAUAGUCUAAAUACUUGUAGUAAUGCUACAUUUAUCCUGAUGUCUGCAGGUUAAAGUGAAUCUGGCUAGCACCCUUUUAUUACAACAAUUGCUACCUUCAUUUUUCUACUGUUUAUACUUUAAUCUUGAAUGUUUACCGGUUUCUACUUGUUGGAUAUUGUGGAGGGAGCACUACAGUUCAUCCAGCUUUAACUCAUGCAUCAUGGUUCUGGAGUAAGAAAAUAUUUUGAUUUAUAUAUUGUGGCCAAUUUAUUGCAUUUUAAAAUUAUUUCUAUACUUAAGACACAACAUUUAUGACAUAAUAUAACGAAUGACUUAGCUAAUCAUUAUAUCUGUCUAGGCUUACUCUCUUCUGUGUUAGUGUCACUUUGAAACUAUUUGUAUAUGUUGAAGUUUGUAAGGGUUCAGGAACCCACAAUAAAAUAGUAAAGUAUGUAUUUAUUUCUCAUAAUAGUGCUCAAUUUUGAUUUGAAAGUUGACACUUUGUAUGUCUUUUCACAGAAUUGUAAACAAAUACCGAGAAAACUGCUUCACCUAGGGUGCCUUCAUGUGUGGUAUAAAUACGUGUCAUUCACAAAAAGAGAGAUGUAAAUUUAUUAAACCAGUAAACACUGUUUUUGUAAUGUGAGUCACUAAUACAUCUCUGGCUUUGUUGUGCUU
ensembl:lncRNA